GUGACCAUAGUUCAGUUGGUUAGAGCGUCAGAUUGUGGUUCUGAAUGUCGUGGGUUCGAAUCCCACUGGUCACC
rnacentral:tRNA from 1 species